GAUGAACGCUGGCGGCGUGCCUAAUACAUGCAAGUCGAGCGGACGGACGAGAAGCUUGCUUCUCUGAUGUUAGCGGCGGACGGGUGAGUAACACGUGGAUAACCUCCCUAUAAGACUGGGAUAACUUCGGGAAACCGGAGCUAAUACCGGAUAAUAUUUUGAACCGCAUGGUUGAAAAGUGAAAGACGGUCUUGCUGUCACUUAUCGCUGGAUCCGCGCUGCAUUAGCUAGUUGGUAAGGUAACGGCUUACCAAGGCAACGAUGCAUAGCCGACCUGAGAGACGGAUAGGCCACACUGGAGCUGGACCGCGGUCCAGACUCCUACGGGAGGCAGCAGUCGGGAAUCUUCCGCAAUGGGCGAAAGCCUUACGGGGCAGCGCCGCGUGAGUGAUGAAGGUCUUCGGAUCGUAAAGCUCUGUUAUUAGGGAAGAACAUAUGUGUAAGUAACUGUGCACAUCUUGACGGUACCGAAUCAGAAAGCCACGGCUAACUACGUG
rnacentral:rRNA from 1 species